rnacentral:miRNA from 1 species
CAGUUAAAUCUGAAUUUCAGGUCAACAACAAAUAAGUUUUUAGUAUCAGCAUGCCACAUGCAACAUUUGAGACAUACUUAUACUAAAAAUAUUGCAUGGGACUGACAUAUUAAAAACUUACU